rnacentral:rRNA from 1 species
GUCCAGACUCCUACGGGAGGCAGCAGUGGGGAAUAUUGCACAAUGGGGGAAACCCUGAUGCAGCGACGCCGCGUGAGUGAAGAAGUAUUUCGGUAUGUAAAGCUCUAUCAGCAGGGAAGAAAAUGACGGUACCUGACUAAGAAGCCCCGGCUAACUACGUGCCAGCAGCCGCGGUAAUACGUAGGGGGCAAGCGUUAUCCGGAUUUACUGGGUGUAAAGGGAGCGUAGACGGCAUGGCAAGUCAGAUGUGAAAGCCCGGGGCUCAACCCCGGGACUGCAUUUGAAACUGUCAGGCUGGAGUGCAGGAGAGGUAAGUGGAAUUCCUAGUGUAGCGGUGAAAUGCGUAGAUAUUAGGAGGAACACCAGUGGCGAAGGCGGCUUACUGGACUGUAACUGACGUUGAGGCUCGAAAGCGUGGGGAGCAAACAGGAUUAGAUACCCCAGUACG